rnacentral:misc_RNA from 1 species
GAAAGAAGAAGAAAAAAGCUACAACUGCUGAAUCCCACCUACACCAUUGUCACCAUGGCAUUGCUAAUGCCCCAUUUCCAGCAUGGCCACCUCUAGCAGCAUGUUUUUCCUUGGAUCAGCUAAAUUCCACUUAUUAUGUCCAUCACUUAAAUGCAUAUUAUUUUCAUUAAAUUGAAUAUUCUACUGCUAUUAGCGUGGCUACUGGCUAGAGCCCAUUGUCUUUUCUAGUCUCUCAACUUAUCCCCUUGCUUACUGUCCUUUGAAUCUAUGCUUGAGCUUCACUCUGCCACCUUAAAGUGCUUAUUGUUCUUCAAUCUUCACUCUAUUGCCAUUACACAAACUUGUUAGAGUUGGUAUUACUGCAUUAUUAUUGGCAUGCUCAUGGAAGAGGUUGUUGGGAGGUGAUUUUAACAUUUACCUUAUUUCUGGCAUUGAUUUUUGCAUGGUAACAGUUUGAAGAAUCAUGCUGGCAGUUAUAUGGUGAGUUGGUGACGAUGAUUUGUUUCAAUAAAUUGUUCGAUGAUUGAUGUGAAGAAGAUAUCGGGUUCAGAAUUUUGUGUUUAGUGGAGUUGCUGCAUCUUGAGUGUGACGUUAGCAAUGCUGAAUUAAUUUGAUGAAGAAAAUGGAUAGUUAUAGGGGAAGAAUGAUAUUGGAGCUUAAACAAAUUUUAAGUGGUGUAUUAGAUAUUGUUUCCAUUUGGGAACCUGGUUUCAUACUUCUAAUAGAAACUUUUAGAAGGGGAUAUCUUAAUAUCACAUUGUUGAUAAUAGGUUAAACCAUUCUUCAUUCUUCACACCUUCUUGAAAUUAUAUUUGAUUGUAUAAUUUUUUUUUCUCUUUUAUCCUUGUAAUCCAUAUGCAUUUUACCUGAGAAAUUUACUAGAAGGAAGUAUUGUUAGCUUUCAAACAUGUACAAGUGGCUGAUGUUGGAGCAACAAUUGCAAGUUGAUCCUUAGUUUUUCUACAUUUUUUUUCCCCUUUUUUGAUGAGAUCUUAAACUCCUCCUACUUGUUUAUUUGAGCCUUUGGAAUGAAGUGAACAUGUAUAUUUUAUUGCUGGCUAUUCUCUCCACUCGCUAGCUAUGUAUUUUCCUGGUUAUUGGUCCAAUCUCGCUCUUUAAUCAUUUAUUCCGCCAUCUUGAACUAAGGGUACUGAUCUGGCUUAAAGGAUCUAUUCUCUAUUGUGUUGCUGUAUGGUUUAUGUAAAACUGAUUCAUUCACAUCCUCUUGGAUGGAUUCUGUUGUGGUAGGGCAUGUAGGUUAAUACUUCAAUUACUUGUAUCAAUGAACCCUUAGGAUCUGGUUUGAUAUUUUUAUCUACUUAUAUUUGAUAAUUCACAUUUUCCCUCAUUUUCUUGUUGGGUGGGGUUGAGAAAUGAAAAUUCUAUUUCUGAGGUUAUAUCCAUUAUUUCAUAUUUGUACAAUUAUAUUUAUGUUCUUUUUCAUCACCAUGUAAACUUGGCUAGUAUAUACAUUACAAAUGGUUAAGUUUUCUAUAUUAGACUAAUUUUAUGUUUUAUGCUACAUGCAUGUCAAAUGACCCUUAAUUUGUUUCUGAUGGUUUUGUUGACUUGCAGAUCUUAAUUGAAGUUACAACAAAAGAUCCAGUCUUUCCAAGCUAGAAAGGCGAAAGCAUAAAUUUGGGAUGUUUGUGAUGCAUGCAUUUUGCAUAAUCAUUUAGUUUGUUUUGUAGGAAAAAUGAUGUUUUUGAGGGACUAAAAUUUUGCCAAUGAGGAGUGAUUCCUACAGCUAAAGAUAUCAAAAACA